GGUACUUUGGCCGAGUGGUCUAAGGCGGUGGUUUUAAGUAACAAUUCUGAACACCACUAUCGAGAGAUGCGUGGGUUCAAACCCCACAGGUACCA